rfam:Mus musculus chromosome 14, GRC primary reference assembly.
AUGGGGUGGCUCAGUGGUUAAGAGCAUUAGCUGCUCCUCUAGAGGACCUGGGUUCGGUUCCCAGCACCCAUA